rnacentral:rRNA from 1 species
GGGUUGUGAGGUUAAGCGACUAAGCGUACACGGUGGAUGCCCUGGCAGUCAGAGGCGAUGAAGGACGUGCUAAUCUGCGAAAAGCGUCGGUAAGGUGAUAUGAACCGUUAUAACCGGCGAUGUCCGAAUGGGGAAACCCAGUGUGAUUCGUCACACUAUCGUUAACUGAAUACAUAGGUUAACGAGGCGAACCGGGGGAACUGAAACAUCUAAGUACCCCGAGGAAAAGAAAUCAACCGAGAUUCCCCCAGUAGCGGCGAGCGAACGGGGAGCAGCCCAGAGUCUGAAUCAGCUUGUGUGUUAGUGGAACGGUCUGGAAAGUCCGACGGUACAGGGUGAUAGUCCCGUACACCAAAAUGCACAGGUUGUGAACUCGAAGAGUAGGGCGGGACACGUGGUAUCCUGUCUGAAUAUGGGGACCAUCCUCCAAGGCUAAAUACUCCUGACUGACCGAUAGUGAACCAGUACCGUGAGGGAAAGGCGAAAAGAACCCCGGCGAGGGGAGUGAAAAGAACCUGAAACCGUGUACGUACAAGCAGUGGGAGCACCUUCGGGUGUGACUGCGUACCUUUGUAUAAUGGGUCAGCGACUUAUAUUCUGUAGCAAGGUUAACCGUAUAGGGGAGCCGCAGGGAAACCGAGUCUUAACUGGGCGUUAAGUUGCAGGGUAUAGACCCGAAACCCGGUGAUCUAGCCAUGGGCAGGUUGAAGGUUGGGUAACACUAACUGGAGGACCGAACCGACUAAUGUUGAAAAAUUAGCGGAUGACUUGUGGCUGGGGGUGAAAGGCCAAUCAAACCGGGAGAUAGCUGGUUCUCCCCGAAAGCUAUUUAGGUAGCGCCUCGUGAACUCAUCUUCGGGGGUAGAGCACUGUUUCGGCUAGGGGGUCAUCCCGACUUACCAACCCGAUGCAAACUACGAAUACCGAAGAAUGUUAUCACGGGAGACACACGGCGGGUGCUAACGUCCGUCGUGAAGAGGGAAACAACCCAGACCGCCAGCUAAGGUCCCAAAGUCAUGGUUAAGUGGGAAACGAUGUGGGAAGGCACAGACAGCCAGGAUGUUGGCUUAGAAGCAGCCAUCAUUUAAAGAAAGCGUAAUAGCUCACUGGUCGAGUCGGCCUGCGCGGAAGAUGUAACGGGGCUAAACCAUGCACCGAAGCUGCGGCAGCGACACUAUGUGUUGUUGGGUAGGGGAGCGUUCUGUAAGCCUGCGAAGGUGUGCUGUGAGGCAUGCUGGAGGUAUCAGAAGUGCGAAUGCUGACAUAAGUAACGAUAAAGCGGGUGAAAAGCCCGCUCGCCGGAAGACCAAGGGUUCCUGUCCAACGUUAAUCGGGGCAGGGUGAGUCGACCCCUAAGGCGAGGCCGAAAGGCGUAGUCGAUGGGAAACAGGUUAAUAUUCCUGUACUUGGUGUUACUGCGAAGGGGGGACGGAGAAGGCUAUGUUAGCCGGGCGACGGUUGUCCCGGUUUAAGCAUGUAGGCUGGUUGUCCAGGCAAAUCCGGAUAAUCAAGGCUGAGGUGUGAUGACGAGGCACUACGGUGCUGAAGUAACAAAUGCCCUGCUUCCAGGAAAAGCCUCUAAGCAUCAGGUAACAUCAAAUCGUACCCCAAACCGACACAGGUGGUCAGGUAGAGAAUACCAAGGCGCUUGAGAGAACUCGGGUGAAGGAACUAGGCAAAAUGGUGCCGUAACUUCGGGAGAAGGCACGCUGGUGUGUAGGUGAAGCCCCUGCGGGUGGAGCUGAGACCAGUCGAAGAUACCAGCUGGCUGCAACUGUUUAUUAAAAACACAGCACUGUGCAAACACGAAAGUGGACGUAUACGGUGUGACGCCUGCCCGGUGCCGGAAGGUUAAUUGAUGGGGUUAUCCGUAAGGAGAAGCUCUUGAUCGAAGCCCCGGUAAACGGCGGCCGUAACUAUAACGGUCCUAAGGUAGCGAAAUUCCUUGUCGGGUAAGUUCCGACCUGCACGAAUGGCGUAAUGAUGGCCAGGCUGUCUCCACCCGAGACUCAGUGAAAUUGAACUCGCUGUGAAGAUGCAGUGUACCCGCGGCAAGACGGAAAGACCCCGUGAACCUUUACUAUAGCUUGACACUGAACAUUGAGCCUUGAUGUGUAGGAUAGGUGGGAGGCUUUGAAGCGUGGACGCCAGUCUGCGUGGAGCCAACCUUGAAAUACCACCCUUUAAUGUUUGAUGUUCUAACGUUGGCCCCUUACCGGGGUUGCGGACAGUGUCUGGUGGGUAGUUUGACUGGGGCGGUCUCCUCCCAAAGCGUAACGGAGGAGCACGAAGGUUAGCUAAUCCUGGUCGGACAUCAGGAGGUUAGUGCAAUGGCAUAAGCUAGCUUGACUGCGAGCGUGACGGCGCGAGCAGGUGCGAAAGCAGGUCAUAGUGAUCCGGUGGUUCUGAAUGGAAGGGCCAUCGCUCAACGGAUAAAAGGUACUCCGGGGAUAACAGGCUGAUACCGCCCAAGAGUUCAUAUCGACGGCGGUGUUUGGCACCUCGAUGUCGGCUCAUCACAUCCUGGGGCUGAAGUAGGUCCCAAGGGUAUGGCUGUUCGCCAUUUAAAGUGGUACGCGAGCUGGGUUUAGAACGUCGUGAGACAGUUCGGUCCCUAUCUGCCGUGGGCGCUGGAGAAUUGAGGGGGGCUGCUCCUAGUACGAGAGGACCGGAGUGGACGCAUCACUGGUGUUCGGGUUGUCAUGCCAAUGGCACUGCCCGGUAGCUAAAUGCGGAAGAGAUAAGUGCUGAAAGCAUCUAAGCACGAAACUUGCCCCGAGAUGAGUUCUCCUGAGACUUUAAGUCUCCUGAAGGAACGUUAAAGACGAUGACGUUGAUAGGCCGGGUGUGUAAGCGCAGCGAUGCGUUGAGCUAACCGGUACUAAUGAACCGUGAGGCUUAACCUUACAACGCCGAAG